rnacentral:rRNA from 1 species
GACGAACGCUGGCGGCGUGCUUAACACAUGCAAGUCGAACGGAAAGACCCUGCUUUUGUGGGGUGCUCGAGUGGCGAACGGGUGAGUAACACGUGAGUAACCUGCCCUUGACUUUGGGAUAACUUCAGGAAACUGGGGCUAAUACCGGAUAGGAGCUCCUGCUGCAUGGUGGGGGUUGGAAAGUUUCGGCGGUUGGGGAUGGACUCGCGGCUUAUCAGCUUGUUGGUGGGGUAGUGGCUUACCAAGGCUUUGACGGGUAGCCGGCCUGAGAGGGUGACCGGCCACAUUGGGACUGAGAUACGGCCCAGACUCCUACGGGAGGCAGCAGUGGGGAAUAUUGCACAAUGGGCGGAAGCAUGAUGCAGCAACGCCGCGUGCGGGAUGACGGCCUUCGGGUUGUAAACCGCUUUCGCCUGUGACGAAGCGUGAGUGACGGUAAUGGGUAAAGAAGCACCGGCUAACUACGUG